AUUGAACGCUGGCGGCAGGCUUAACACAUGCAAGUCGAGCGAGCGGCGGACGGGUGAGUAAUGUGUGGGAAAAUGCCUGAUGGAGGGGGAUAACUACUGGAAACGGUAGCUAAUACCGCAUACCAUCAGAUGUUCCCAGAUGGGAUUAGCGAGUAGGUGGGGUAAUGGCUCACGUAGGCGACGAUCCCUAGCUGGUAUGAGAGGAUGACCAGCCACAACGGAACGGAGACACGGUCCAGACGCCAACGAGAGGCAGCAGUGGGGAAUAUUGGACAAUGGGCGCAAGCCUGAUGCAGCCAGGCCGCGUGUGUGAAGAAGGCCUUCGGGUUGUAAAGCACUUGCAGCGAGGAGGCGUUACUCGCAGAAGAAGCACCGGCUAACUCCGUGCCAGCAGCCGCGGUAAUUC
rnacentral:rRNA from 1 species